rnacentral:tRNA from 1 species
GCCUGGGUGGCUCAGUCGGUUGAGCGUCUGACUUUGGCUCAGGUCAUGAUCUCUCAAUUCGUGAGUUCGAGCCCUGCAUCGGGCU